UACGAAUGGGGCAAGCGUUGUUCGGAAUCACUGGGCGUAAAGCGUAUGUAGGCGGUUUUCCAAGUCAGGAGUGAAAUCCCAGGGCUCAACCCUGGAACGGCUCUUGAAACUGGAUCACUAGAGUCCCGGAGAGGUUGGCGGAAUUCCGAGUGUAGAGGUGAAAUUCGCAGAUAUUCGGAGGAACACCAGUGGCGAAGGCGGCCAACUGGACGGGAACUGACGCUCAGAUACGAAAGCGUGGGGAGCAAAC
rnacentral:rRNA from 1 species